rnacentral:rRNA from 1 species
AGUGAACGCUGGCGGUAUGCCUAACACAUGCAAGUCGAACGGCAGCACAGUAAGAGCUUGCUCUUACGGGUGGCGAGUGGCGGACGGGUGAGGAAUACAUCGGAAUCUACUUUUUCUUGGGGGAUAACGUAGGGCAACUUACGCUAAUACCGCAUACGACCUACGGGUGAAAGCAGGGGAUCUUCGGACCUUGCGCGAUUGAAUGAGCUGAUGCCGCACUAGCUAGUCUGCGGGGUAAGGUCCCACCAAGGCAACGAUGCGUAGCAUGUCUGAGAGGGUGAUGGGCGACACGGGAGCUGAGACACGGUCCAGAGUCCUACGGGAGGGCGCAGUAGGGAAGCUUACGCAAUGGGCGAAAGCAUGACGGAGCAACGCCGCGUGAGUGAUGAAGGUCUUCGGAUCGUAAAACGCUGUUAUUAGGGAAGAAAAAAUGUGGAAGUAACUAUGCACGUCUUGACGGUACCUAAUAAGAAAGCAACGGCUAAUUACGUG